UGGGGAAUCUUGCGCAAUGGGCGAAAGCCUGACGCAGCCAUGCCGCGUGGAAGAUGAAGGUCUUAGGAUUGUAAAAUCCUUUCAGCGGGGACGAUAAUGACGGUACCCGCAGAAGAAGCCCCGGCUAACUUCGUGCCAG
rnacentral:rRNA from 1 species